CAGCCGCCGCGGUAAUACGAGGGGGGCAAGCGUUGCUCGGAAUUACUGGGCGUAAGGCGUGCGCAGGCGGUUCGUUAAGACAGAUGUGAAAUCCCCGGGCUCAACCUGGGAAUGGCAAUGGAUACUGGCGAGCUAGAGUGUGUCAGAGGAUGGUGGAAUUCCCGGUGUAGCGGUGAAAUGCGUAGAGAUCGGGAGGAACAUCAGUGGCGAAGGCGGCCAUCUGGGACAACACUGACGCUGAGGCACGAAAGCGUGGGGAGCAAACAGGAUUAGAUACCCCGGUAGUCCCUGUCUCUUAUAC
rnacentral:rRNA from 1 species